GAUGAACGCUAGCGGCAGGCUUAAUACAUGCAAGUCGUGGGGCAGCAGGGGUGUAGCAAUACAUCUGCUGGCGACCGGCAAACGGGUGCGUAACACGUACGCAACCUUCCCGUUACUGUGGCAUAGCCCAGGGAAGCUUGGAUUAAUACCACAUAUUAUAUAGAGAGGGCAUCCUUUUUAUAUCAAAGCUUCGGCGGUAAAGGUUGGGCGUGCGGUUGAUUAGGUAGUUGGCGGGGUAACGGCCCACCAAGCCUACGAUCAAUAGCUGAUGUGAGAGCAUGAUCAGCCACACGGGCACUGAGACACGGGCCCGACUCCUACGGGAGGCAGCAGUAAGGAAUAUUGGGCAAUGGACGAAAGUCUGACCCAGCCAUGCCGCGUGAAGGAUUAAGGUCCUCUGGAUUGUAAACUUCUUUUCUCUGGGGCGAAAACCAGCUAUUCUUAGCUAUUUGACAGUACCAGAGGAAUAAGCACCGGCUAACUCCGUGCCAGCAGCCGCCGUAACAC
rnacentral:rRNA from 1 species